GCCAAGAUGUCCAGAUAAGGGCGCGCCUCAUCUCUAAACGCCCAGCAGUUUCCUGACCACCCCUGCUCCCCAACUGAAAAUCCAUCACCACAAAACAGCCAAUCCUUAGUAACGUUAUCCCAAGCACUCCGUAGUCCCAGUGUGUUUGUGCCUGAAGAUUUUCUGUACAACAAGGAGGUCAGCAGGUCUUCAGGACCAAUCUGGGGUCAAGGUCACCAUAAAUAUAUUCUUUAACACCAGAGUAACACUUUGAGCAAAUGCAAAGGAUUGGAGGAUAAAUCUGGAUCUUCGUAGUAGAUUCAUUUCAUUUGCAGAACUUAUUGAAAUGGUGAAAUAGGGGAGUGCAGUAAUGUCUUUUUCAUCCUUUUAACCAUUCCUGGCUAACUAAAUGUUUGAAUGCCUACCCAACAGGUUUUUAGGUCAUUUUUCAAUAAUGUUCAGAGGUGCUUAGCUCAUUGAAUAUAUAUCAUGUUUUGAAAUGGACUGGCAAUAACACAAUACUGUAGUAUACCAGUAAGACAUUAUUAGGGGUUUAAGCACCAGUGGUGCUGGAACAGUAUUGUAAUAACAUUGUAAUAUAUUUGUCUUAGAGACAUAAAACUUUGUCAACAGGUACUACUCCCUCCAGUUACUCAGGCAAGUGAAUUGGGUCUCGAUGGCCCAAAGGUGGCACUAGAAUAAAGUGUAUACAUAUUGGUCCAUAUGAACUGUGAGUACUACAAACAAAAAAUAAAUUUGUUUUUUUGCCAGUGAUACCUUGGACCAUUUAGAAAGAGCCAUUUUGCUCCACUCACUGAGAUUUUUCUCUAAUUUGCGUGAGCUGUAAAACCUUUUUCAAACUAGUCUUAGGAUUUUUAGCCUCACAAAUAUAGUGUCAAAAUAUGCAGCGACACUCAAUAUUUAUUUACUCAAACAGCUACACAUAAUUGCUUGCACAUAUUCACUAGUGUGAAAUGUGAAGGGCAUAUACAGGAAGGCAUUCUGAAGUCUUUGGCAAAUAACUUUUUAUCAGGUACUGUAUGUCCAGUCAACCAAGCUACACAGAACAGCCAUAACAUUAGAACCACCUGCCAAAUAUUAUCCUGUUCUACUUGUGCUGCUGAAACAUCUUUGAAACUUAAUGAACAGAUUUGUAAUAUUAUUCAAAUAGAUUAUCCUGUUAAAGGUAUCAAUGUUGGAUCAUAACAAAUUUCUGGUCACCAUUUAGAAAUCUGUCAAAAAGAGUUUUUCUAAACAGUUCUUCUCCUACACUGUAAAAAAAAAAAAAAAGAUUAAUGGGGUUAGUGAGUAAAGCUUAAAAUAAAUGAUAUUUUCAGCAUAAAAAAAUAAGUUUGGUACAUGUAUAAGUAUAGGCUGAUAAAAUAUUAAAAAGUCUGUCAAGAUGAAAAUAAAGAAAACUGUCUUAAAUUAUUAAUAUACCAAUUUUGAAUAAACAGUUUUACAUUCACUUCUUCACAUAAAAGUUUCAAUUAGUGAUACUUGUAUAUCUACUGAGCAUCCACUAAAUGUUCAUGUUGAAUCUAUAUUUAGCCAUUAUGAAUUAGUUUUUUUGUGUGAAAAUACUGCAUUACUUUGUC